UACGGGGGGGGCAAGCGCUGUUCGGAAUUACUGGGCGUAAAGGGCUCGUAGGCGGCUAACUAAGUCGGAUGUGAAAUCCCCAGGCUUAACCUGGGAACUGCAUCCGAUACUGGAUGGCUUGAAUCCGGGAGAGGGAUGCAGAAUUCCAGGUGUAGCGGUGAAAUGCGUAGAUAUCUGGAGGAAUACCGGUGGCGAAGGCGGCAUCCUGGACCGGCAUUGACGCUGAGGAGCGAAAGCUAGGGGAGCAAACGGG
rnacentral:rRNA from 1 species